GUUAGAUUAACUUAAUUGGAAGAGUGUGUAUCUUGUAAGUACAAAGUUAAGAGUUCAAGUCUCUUAUCUAACA
rfam:Pneumocystis murina mitochondrion, complete genome.